rnacentral:rRNA from 1 species
GAUUGUAGGUCGCAACUCGCCUACAUGAAGUCGGAAUUGCUAGUAAUCGCGGAUCAGCAUGCCGCGGUGAAUACGUUCCCGGGCCUUGUACACACCGCCCGUCACACCAUGGGAGUCGGUAACACCCGAAGUCGGUAGCCUAACCGUAAGGAGGGCGCCGCCGAAGGUGGGAUUGAUGACUGGGGUGAAGUCGUAACAAGGUAUC